AGGUUCACGGUACAGAAGAAGGGUCACACUGCCACCAGGGUCAUAAAACUACCCCUGGAAAUGCCUCAAAUGCACGAAACCCUUGGCAUAUGUGCGUUUCUUAGGUUCACGGUACAGAAGAAGGGUCACACUACCACCAGGGUCAUACAACUACCCCUGGAAAUGCCCACAACUCCCAUGAAAGCCCUGUCAGAUGUGCAUUUCUUAGGUUCACAGUACAGAAGGAGGGUCUCACCAUCACCAGGGUCAUAAAACUACCCCCAGAAAUGCCCUAAACCCUUGUCAAAUGUGUGUUUCUUAGGUUCAUGGUACAGAGGAAGGGUCACACUACCACCAGGGUCACAAAACUACCCCUGGAAAUGCCCUAAACCCUUGUCAAAUGUGUGUUUCUUAGGUUCACGGUACAGAAGAAGGGUCACACUACCACCAGGGUUACAAAACUACCCCUGGAAAUGCUCACAACGCCCACGAAAGCCCUGUCAAAUGUGCGUUUCUUAGGGUCAUGGUACAGAAGAAGGGUCACACUACCACCAGGGUCAUAAAACUACCUCUGGAAAUGCCCACAGCUCCUACGAAAGCCUUGUCAAAUGCAUGAACCUGGGCAGUGAAGUGUUUAAUAAAAUGUCUGAGGGUCCCACCACCUAUACAGUUAUUAUUAUUAUUAUUAUUAUUAUUAUUGUAGUUAUUUCUUUCCCUAUUCAGUGCAGUAUUAGUUGGUCUAGUUUCUCAGUGGCUAUUAUUAUUAUUAUUAUUAUUAUUAUUAUUAUUAUUAUUAUUAUUUUCUUAUAGGGAAGUGUGGUAAUAGAGUGUGUGUGUCUGAAUUGCUGUGUGCAUCCAUGUAUGUUCUACACACACACACACACACUCUCUCUCUCUCUCUCUCUCUCUCUCUCUCUCUCUCUCUCUACAUGUGUUUCUUUGUUUGUGUGUUCCUAUGUUUGUUACUCAUGUGCGUUUAUGUGUGCGUGUGUGUUUCUUGCUUGUGUGCGUUUUUUUGGCGUACAUGACUCGUGUGCACCUCCAAGUCUUGUGUUCUGUCUAUUUAUAUAAGUGUGUGUGUGUGUGUGUGUGCGCGAAUUUGUCCCUUUCAUGUGCGUAUUCUGUGCCUUGGUGUACAUAGCCACUUGUCUUGUGUGCGUGUGUGUGUGUGCGUUUUUGCAAUGUAUACUUUGGUUUCUUUUAUGUAUUAUUUUCUUCCUUUUUUGGGCCUAUGUAUCAUGUAUUGCAGCCUAUGUAUAUUUAUGUAUACUUAUAUGUGUCCAUGUAUACCUCUGUGUUGUCCUAUGUAUACUUUUAUGUGGUCAUGUGUAUUUUCUCUCCCCUUUCUCUCUAUCAUGUAUAUUUCUAUCUAUCUAUCUAUCAAUGUAUACUGUUUUAUUUUGUAUGUAUAUCAAACUAUGCAUUGUUUUAUGAAUAUUUGUGAUAGAAUGUGUGUGUGUGUGUGUGUGUGUAUGCUUUGCUAGAUAAAGACAUGUAUAAUACGAGUGUUUGUGAUAGGGUGGUAUGUAUAUAUGUACCACUAGACAUUCAUUACUCGACCCCUAUUUAUGCAUACGAGUUAGUGGGUCAUACAUCUUCUGUACUUUAUAUUUUGUCCAGUUGUAGAAAAAUCAUUAUUGCUCAUUUAAAGUAAUUACCAACAGGAUUUGUAUAUGCUUCAACUUCAGGAGGCAUUUAACUAUAGAUGGUUCUUUAUAUAAUGUUCCAGUUUUAGAUUGUGGUAGUUUAACCCGGUAGCUGUGGGGAUCAUGUUUCUUAAUGGUCCCUCUAAGCGAGAAAAAUGAGAAAAAAAUCAUCACUCAUGCAAACCAUUUCAUAAUACAUAUCAACGCAUUUGUGAUCAGUUUAUGUAUCAUCUAUUUUGGGGGUUUAUAUCAUGGCAAAAAUUUGGCCCGUCGCUGGUACACAGUAAAGCCACAAAUUUGCCCCGUCACUGGUACAUGGUAAAGCCACAAAUUUGCCCCGUCUCUGGUACAUGGUAAAGGUACAAAUUUGGCCCGUCUCUGGUACACGGUAAAGGUACAAAUUUGGCCCAUCUCUGGUACACGGUAAAGGUACAAAUUUGGCCCGUCUCUGGUACACGGUAAAGGUACAAAUUUGGCCCGUCUCUGGUACACGGUAAAGGUACAAAUUUGGCCCGUCUCUGGUACACGGUAAAGGUACAAAUUUGCCCCGUCUCUGGUACAUGGUAAAGGUACAAAUUUGGCCCGUCUCUGGUACAUGGUAAAGGUACAAAUUUGGCCCGUCUCUGGUACAUGGUAAAGGUACAAAUCUGGCCUGUCACUGCUACCAGGUUAAAACAUGAUUCAUAGCUGCCUCAACUCAAGAGAAAGAUGGCAUUCAAGUCUAGUUAGUGUUUGAGUUGUAUACAUUUGUAGAAACUAUAAAUAUCUAAACUGUUGUCUGACUGUAGUUCUUGAGUGAAACUGAAUAAUUAUUUGCUCAUUUAUAUUAAUUUAAAACCGUGCUGAUAAACUUGUCAACUUCACCAAAUACGUGGCAUUUAAUGACAGAGGCAUUUUGGCACUCACCAUCAGCCUGGGUGCCACACUCGUAGGUUUAUGGUGUAUAUUUUCAAGCAGUGUAUAUAUAAUUUUACAACCAGAUAUAAAAGGUAAAUGAACAGGUUUUUGGCACAUACCGAAGCUCAGUGCCACAGUGAAGUGUUGAAAUCUUUUUACAAGUAUAUAAUCUUAAAAGAAAAGAUAACAAUAAGUUUUUUACAAACAAAUAGCGAGAAAAGUACAAGCCAGCAAAGCUUGUGGAGGCAAGGCGGGACUUGUUCCUUGGAGCCAGGCAGCCAAGCCGCUCAGGCAAACAAAAAAAGGAAAACAACAUAAAAGUGCCAUACUACAAGGUUUAGAAUGAAGGUGUUAAUUGUAAACCAUGGUGCCAUAACAUAACAGGAAAACAUAGAAAAAUAGCCAUAACUAAAAAGUUAUACACAAAAAAGAUGUAGUAUACAUGUUCCAACACAUGCAAUACAUCAACAACAACAACAACAACAACAGGCCGUGUGUGUAUGCUGCAAAAAUAAAUGAGAAAAAAAAGAACAAUCCCGGAACAUACCAAGAGGUUUUUUUUAUUGGCAAGACAUCCAUUGCAAUAACAAAUAAAACUCUGAAUACAAUGUUUUACCUUGUAUUAAUUAUUCCCUUGACUGUGUGUGUGUGUGUGUGUAGGAUGCUGGAGAUGGUCUAAAUGUGUGUGGAGGAGAGGAGGGAUGCUGGAGAUGGUUUGGACACAUGUGGAGAUUAUAUAAAAAGAUGCUGGGUAUAUCAGAGGGAU